rnacentral:rRNA from 1 species
UACGUGGAGGGGCGAGCGUUGUCCGGAUUUAUUGGGCGUAAAGAGCUCGUAGGCGGUUCGGUAAGUCAGGUGUAAAAACUCCAGGCUCAACUUGGAGAGGCCACCUGAUACUGCCGUGACUAGAGUCCGGUAGAGGAGCACGGAAUUCCUGGUGUAGCGGUGAAAUGCGCAGAUAUCAGGAGGAACACCAGCGGCGAAGGCGGUGCUCUGGGCCGGAACUGACGCUGAGGAGCGAAAGCGUGGGGAGCGAACAGG